CGGGUGGGGAUUAGUGGCGAACGGGUGAGUAACACGUGGGCAAUCUGCCCUUCACUCUGGGACAAGCCCUGGAAACGGGGUCUAAUACCGGAUACUGACCUGCCAAGGCAUCUUGGCGGGUCGAAAGCUCCGGCGGUGAAGGAUGAGCCCGCGGCCUAUCAGCUUGUUGGUGAGGUAAUGGCUCACCAAGGCGACGACGGGUAGCCGGCCUGAGAGGGCGACCGGCCACACUGGGACUGAGACACGGCCCAGACUCCUACGGGAGGCAGCAGUGGGGAAUAUUGCACAAUGGGCGAAAGCCUGAUGCAGCGACGCCGCGUGAGGGAUGACGGCCUUCGGGUUGUAAACCUCUUUCAGCAGGGAAGAAGCGAAAGUGACGGUACCUGCAGAAGAAGCGCCGGCUAACUACGUGCCAGCAGCCGCGGUAAUACGUAGGGCGCAAGCGUUGUCCGGAAUUAUUGGGCGUAAAGAGCUCGUAGGCGGCUUGUCACGUCGGUUGUGAAAGCCCGGGGCUUAACCC
rnacentral:rRNA from 2 species